UGGAUGAAUUUUGCUUUUUAAUUUGUUCUUCCAUUGCAGACAUUGCCUGUUCCCUGUCACAUCACACUGUUCCCUUGUCAGACUGCUCCAGCUCUUUCCCAGACCAGCACUGCAGCUUCUUGCUGGCCAAAUUCUUUCAAUGCCUCUGUGGGUUGCUGGAUGCCUUGAAAAGGACGACAUGACCCUCCAGAAGUGCCUUGUUGGGAAUUUUCAAAAUAACACACUUAGUGCCAUCGCCAUGGGUGGUUCCUGUGCUCUCAGGAAGAUCUGUGCUCUCCUGACAGACCACCUCCCAGCAGAGACAGCCACCUGCAAAUCCACUCCCGCAGCAGCUGCCCCGAAACACAGGCGCUGCUGCUGAAGCACUCCUGCAGGUGCAGGCUGGAUGUCUUCAAUGCUCAUCUCAGACAGCGGCUGGAGUGUUUUUCCAUGGUCUGAAUUGCAAAAGCAGCACCGAA